AUUGAACGCUGGCGGCAUGCCUUACACAUGCAAGUCGAACGGCAGCAUGGAGAGCUUGCUCUCUGAUGGCGAGUGGCGAACGGGUGAGUAAUGCAUCGGAACGUACCGUGUAAUGGGGGAUAACGUAGCGAAAGUUACGCUAAUACCGCAUACGACCUGAGGGUGAAAGCAGGGGAUCGCAAGACCUUGCGUUAUACGAGCGGCCGAUGUCAGAUUAGCUAGUUGGUGAGGUAAAGGCUCACCAAGGCGACGAUCUUUAGCGGGUCUGAGAGGAUGAUCCGCCACACUGGGACUGAGACACAGCCCAGACUCCGACGGGAGGCAGCAGUGGGGAAUUUUGGACAAGGGGGGCAACCCUGAUCCAGCCAUGCCGCGUGAGUGAAGAAGGACUUCGGGUUGUAAAGCUCUUUCGGCCGGGAAGAAAUCGCACAGGCUAAUACUCUGUGUGGAUGACGGUACCGGCAUAAGAAGCACCGGCUAACUACGUGCCAGCCGCCGCAGUAAAAC
rnacentral:rRNA from 1 species